UUCUNGAGCGCACUGAAUAAGCGAAGCUGACCNUNGGAAACGUGCGUGACGACUACAACUAUUAGGCUCGUCNAGAUCCGGCAGGAGCGAUCCGACAGCGAUGCUCACUCCGGCGGGCACGGNGAUUGUCGGAUGGGCAUGGGUGGCGNNAACAACGACCGUNGAUGNCAAGACGCCNAACCCUGCGUGAUGGCGANCGAGCAUGCGCACCUCCUUCUAGCGAUACUAGCGCUAGCCACCUCGUCGAAUCUUNCUNCCUGCCCCUCUUCNUUNCAACACAGCACACUCCCGUGGCUCGCCAUGGCUAACCUUAGGGCAUGAAUACCAAUCUGGAUUCGUANCNA
rnacentral:rRNA from 1 species